AAUGACUGAGUGGCGGACGGGUGAGUAACGCGUGGGUAACCUGCCCUGUACUGGGGGACAACAGUUAGAAAUGACUGCUAAUACCGCAUAAGCGCACAGGACCGCAUGGUCCGGUGCGAAAAACUCCGGUGGUACAGGAUGGACCCGCGUCUGAUUAGGUAGUUGGCGGGGUAACGGCCCACCAAGCCGACGAUCAGUAGCCGACCUGAGAGGGUGACCGGCCACAUUGGGACUGAGACACGGCCCAAACUCCUACGGAAGGCAGCAG
rnacentral:rRNA from 1 species